rnacentral:rRNA from 1 species
AUACGAAAGGUGCAAGCGUUGUUCGGAUUUACUGGGCGUAAAGAGAGUGUAGGUUGUUUAUUAAGUCGGAUGUGAAAUCCCGGGGCUCAACCUCGGAACUGCAUUCGAUACUGGUAGACUAGAGUUCGGGAGGGGUAAGCGGAAUUCCGUGUGUAGCAGUGAAAUGCGUAGAUAUACGGAGGAACACCUGAGGCGAAGGCGGCUCACUGGACCGAUACUGACACUGAGACUCGAAAGCGUGGGUAGCAAACAGGAUUAGAUACCCCAGUAGUCC